rnacentral:lncRNA from 1 species
CGCACCUGGCCACUCCAAUCAUCAUCUCACACGCUGCUCCAGGACUUAGAAGCCCCUACUCUCAUCUGGAAGAGCGAAGACUUGAGUGGGGUCUUGAUACGGCACAGGACAACGCCUGUCACUUCACUCUUGCUCAGUGAGCGAGUCCUAGGUAAGCAUACUCAAAGUCCCUUCUGUAAAGGUGGGCCAGUUCAUGAUGGGGCAGCUGCUUGCAGAUCCUGUUUGUUAGGAAUUCCUAACUGUCAAUAUAAAGCUUUGGUUCAGAAGCCCCUCCUUUGUGCCCUUCUCCUAGCCUUGAGCAGGCUGAACAACCCCCCCACCCCACAACCACCAAGGUUUUACAACCUAGCUGGAGAGGCCUGGCUUUGCUGCUUUUGCAAUUUUCUACCAGAGCUUUGAGAAGUUGACUGCCUGCUGAGCUUGCUUUGCAACACAAUCUUGCUGAAACAAAGGAUGGGGUCUGUGGGUUUUCCCUAUAUAAACACAGUGCUGAAAAUUAAACUUUGAGCCUUGAUCAGAAACCUUUGUCUUGGCUUCAUCCUUCUCUCACCCCCUCCUCCCACUUUUUAUUUCCAGCUUUUCUUUCAGGUACCCAGUUCAUCCUUGACUGCAAAACAGCUACCCUCCUUCCACUGGAGUUGUGAGUUGGGCUGCUCUGUCUGAUAUUUUUUUUCCAGAAGUCCAUAGCAAUGGCUCAGGCUUUGAAGUUGACUUUAUAGCAUGUUUAAUAUGCACCAUCUGUCUGUUUUGUUUACCUUUGCUCCACCUUAGCUCACUAGCCAAAGACGACUUAUAUCAAUGACGAUUAAUGAGAGUCUCUGAAACUCUGAAGCUUCUAAAACAGCUGGCACAGCAUUCAUGCACACUCA